CCUACGGGGGGCAGCAGUGGGGAAUAUUGCACAAUGGGGGAAACCCUGAUGCAGCGACGCCGCGUGAGCGAAGAAGUAUUUCGGUAUGUAAAGCUCUAUCAGCAGGGAAGAAAAUGACGGUACCUGAUUAAGAAGCUCCGGCUAAAUACGUGCCAGCAGCCGCGGUAAUACGUAUGGAGCAAGCGUUAUCCGGAUUUACUGGGCGUAAAGGGAGCGUAGGCGGCCUGCCAAGUCUGAUGUGAAAUACCGGGGCUCAACCCCGGGGCUGCAUUGGAAACUGGCAGGCGGGAGUGCCGGAGAGGCAGGCGGAAUUACUAGUGUAGCGGUGAAAGGCGUAGAUAUCAGGAGGAACACCAGUGGCGAAGGCGGCCAGCUGGAAGGUGACUGACGCUGAGGCUCGAAAGCGUGGGGAGCAAACAGGAUUAGAUACCCUAGUAGUC
rnacentral:rRNA from 1 species